AGCGAACGCUGGCGGCAGGCCUAACACAUGCAAGUCGAACGAACUCUUCGGAGUUAGUGGCGGACGGGUGAGUAACACGUGGGAACGUGCCUUUUGGUUCGGAAUAACUCAGGGAAACUUGUGCUAAUACCGAAUGUGCCCUUCGGGGGAAAGAUUUAUCGCCAUUAGAGCGGCCCGCGUCUGAUUAGCUAGUUGGUGAGGUAACGGCUCACCAAGGCGACGAUCAGUAGCUGGUCUGAGAGGAUGACCAGCCACACUGGGACUGAGACACGGCCCAGACUCCUACGGGAGGCAGCAGUGGGGAAUCUUGCGCAAUGGGCGAAAGCCUGACGCAGCCAUGCCGCGUGAAUGAUGAAGGUCCUAGGAUUGUAAAAUUCUUUCACCGGGGACGAUAAUGACGGUACCCGGAGAAGAAGCCCCGGCUAACUUCGUG
rnacentral:rRNA from 1 species